rnacentral:lncRNA from 1 species
CAGGCACCCCAAUUCUGCUGCCGCCGUUGUCUCUGCCACGCAUGCGUGACAAAGGGAUAACCCAGCCGCACACAGAAGUGUGGGGCUGACUUUCCGCCCAUCUCCGAGUUGGUGACUUAGACACAAUCUUUACGACACUUCUCGUUUCCUGGGUGUUGCCAGCUGAGUCCCGGAACCCAGUCCUGUCGAUCUUCUCGUGGAUCCUCAGAACCAGUAGGAGGCAGACGGCAGAGGUGGCAGAGGUGUGGGAGGCAGGAAGGAAAUGAUGGCAAACACACAACUCUGCAUCCCUUCCCCUCAAUUCACCCUCACAACAAGCGCCUGAGAGGGCUUUCCUUGCCCGUUUUCUGACUGGGGAACUGAGGCUCAAAGAGGUGGUGUUGAUGCUGCUGUCUGGGGGACCCCACUCUGACAACCGUGGCUCUGGGGGUCGAAGAAGGUGCACCUGCCUGUCUCCCAGGACUGCAGGGGCAGUUGACCACUCGAGAGAGCAGGUGUAGGAUGGGCCUUGGGACCAGUGGGCCUCAACCUUGGCUACACGUGGAAGGAGGAGUUUGCCAGUUCUACGAACAAAACUGGGCCCCUCCCCCUGGUCUAACAGAUGACUAUUAGAUGUGUAAGCCCUUUCCUGCACGGACGCUGCUUCGUGAAAAGCUUAAACUGCAUCAGAUUGCAGACCUCGGAGCAGCUCCCCAGAACGCUCUGUUGGAGUAUUUCCUAGGUCUCAAGUUCCUCACCUUGAUUAUCAAAUAAACUCCUCUAAUCAACCUC